GCCGGGUGUGGUGGCGCAUGCCUGUAAUCCCUGCCACGGGGGAGGCUGAAGCUUGUGGAUCAUUUGAGCCAAUUUUGAGCUGUAGUGGGGCUAAAGCCAAUCAGGUGUCUGCACUGAGUCCAGCACCAAUAUGAUGAGCCCCCAGGAGUUGGGGACCCACCAGGCUGCAUAAGGAGAGGCAAACUUUGGAAAAGUUCAAAACUUCUGUGCUGAUCAGUAGUGGGAUCUGGCCUGUGAGUUGACACUGCACUUUCAGUCUGGGCAAGAUAGGGAGACCCAGGG
ensembl:misc_RNA Metazoa_SRP Metazoan signal recognition particle RNA